GCAGUCACGUUCUCCGGCUAUGAAAUCCAACCAGCGUCGGCCACGCCCCUUUCCUUUUACGGAGACCGCAGAGUGCUGUAAUGAGAGUGGCGACACUCUUUGAAAUCGCCGACAGGAGGUCACGUGGUUCAUGGAGCUCUGAAUAGUUCAAUACAGCACAGCGUUCUUCGUUGGGUUCAGCGGAUUCUGGCGGGAGGCAACGCGGACAUUACAAUUUUAUUCGUCAUUUUCGCAUGGGGAUGCUAAAUCUCAUCCUCUUACACAGCGUGGAAGAGAUUACAUGUUCUGCUUCUUCUUACCUUCACAUCAACGUCCUUCAACAAAGCCUCAAUCAAAACUGUGGAAGAUCUCAUUCAGUUUGUUUUCUCUGCCUGGUAUCAGGUGGAAAAUGUACUCAUGGCAAUGUUAAAUGAAUAAUUUCAAGCAGGUUUGAAGGAUAAAAUGUAGCUGUAGAUGCUAACUGGUGUCUUUAGAUGAAUUAUUUCCUAUAACAAACAUUACUAUUCUAUUAUCAUAUCUGAUCAUAUUUUCCUGUCAUAUGAGCUUAAUACAUGCAUCUGUAUCCAUGUAUAUUGUAUUUCUAACCAGAAAACUACCGUAAAAUGGCACUGAUCUGACUCCACUAAAUGUUAAUUCACUGACCCUUUUAUAAUAUUAGCUAACAAGUAUCCAUGUUCAAAAACAGCUUUUUAACAAAAUAUUUUUAUUAAACAAUGUUAUUAUUGAAAGUGUAAUAAAUGCAGAAAUAAAGAAGUACUUUUACUAAUACUUGUAAUGUUUAAUAGUUGAAUCUGCAACAAUUAAUUGUUUAAAGGUUCAUUCAAUGAGGGUUCAUCCUUCUCAACUUGGCAGUUGCUUCAUUUGGUAGUGACCAUCUCUUCGAAACAUCAGUGGACUCUGGUAACAAAAAAUACAGAAAUAAUUCAUCAUCAAAAGCUCCAAAGUCAGACUGAAAAACUGGUGGUGUGUUCCUUUCAUUUCACUUUUCAUUUAUUCAUCCAUAUCAAUUUUCUGUACCAUACAGAAUUACAUAAAAAAUACAAUAAAGCCCUAACAUGGAUGAAAGGAGCAUGUAGAAGAUGUCAUAUAUUACAUGCCCUCUACAAAAAACAGCUUGAAUAGAUGACCAGUAGCAAUCUUUUCCACAGUCCAUGUCCAAAUUACAAACAUUGUUAAUUCUGAAAUAAAACUCUUAAAAAGG